CCAAUAGCGUAUAUUAAAGUUGUUGCAGUUAAAAAGCUCGUAGUUGAACCUCGGGGUCUACCCAUUGGUCAGGCUUAAUUGUCUGCACUGGUGAGAUGGAUCUCUACCUUCUGAGGAACUUUCAUGCCAUUUAUUUGGUGUGAUGGGAAAUCAGGACUGUUACUUUGAAAAAAUUAGAGUGUUUAAAGCAGACUAUCGUCUGAAUACAUUAGCAUGGAAUAAUGAAAUAGGACGGACUGAUUCUAUUUCGUUGGUUUCUAGGAUCACCGUAAUGAUUAAUAGGGAUAGUUGGGGGCAUUAGUAUUCAAUUGUCAUAGGUGAAAUUCUUGGAUUUAUUGAAGACUAACUACUGCGAAAGCAUUUGCCAAGGAUGUUUUCAUUAAUCAAGAACGAAAGUUAGGGGAUCGAAGACGAUCAGAUACCGUCGUAGUCUUAACCAUAAACUAUGCCGACUAGGGAUCGGACGAAGUUAAUUUUAUAAUGACGCGUUCGGCACCUUACG
rnacentral:rRNA from 1 species